UACGGAGGGUGCGAGCGUUGUCCGGAAUCACUGGGCGUAAAGAGCGUGUAGGCGGCUCGAUAAGUCCGCUCUGAAAGCCCGGGGCUCAACCCCGGGAGGCGGGCGGAUACUGUCGAGCUAGAGUCCGGAAGAGGCGAAGUGGAAUUCCUGGUGUAGGCGGUGAAAUGCGCAGAUAUCAGGAGGAACACCAAUGGCGAAGGCAGCUCGCUGGGACGGUACUGACGCUGAGAACGCGGAAGCGUGGGGAGCAAACAGG
rnacentral:rRNA from 1 species